AUGAAACUGCAAAAAUAGUUAUUAUCUUCUCUUAUAGGAAGCACAAGUACAGCAGUUAUAUAGGCAAUUCUCCAACAAUUUCAAAAAGAGUUAAUUCCAAUCCUUUACAAAAUCUCUGAAUAUGAAAAAGGAGGGAACUACAUCUUAAUUUAUUCUGUGAAGCUAGUUUAACUUGAUAACAAAACCAGAUGAAGACAGGAUAAGAAAGGCACACUAGAGUGUCUUUUUACCCAUGAGUGUAUAUAUAAGAAUUAAAACAAAUUAUUGGCACAAUAAAUAAAGCAGUCAUUAGAUGAUUUUUCAUUUUGACAAACAGACAAACAUAAAUGCAACUGGAGUCCUACAGGCAGAAGAAAGUAGAGAACAAGGUAGAAGUAAUAUUUGACUAAGAAUUUUCCAAAAACAAUGAAAAAUAUCAAGCCAAAGGUCCAUGUCUGGAAAACCUCAGGUAGAAUAAAUAAUGAGCAAUAUAGACAACAAAAACCUCAAAUAACCAACCAAAUAACCCCACCCACAAAUCUAAACUCGUCAUUUUUGAACUGCUGACAAUCAAUGAUAAAGAGAAAAUCUUGAGACAUCAAGAAAAUAAAGACAUUAAAUCAGAGGAAUAAAGAUAAGAAGUAUAUGUCAUAACUGGAAGACAAUGGUAUGACAUCUUUAAAGUUCUGAAUCUCAAAACUGUCAGCCCAGAAUUCUAGUCACGAUAAAAAUAUUUUCAAAGUCAAGGUGUCAGGAGCUCAGCUGAGCUAGAGACAGCUGAGCUGCCAGGUGUUGGAGUAGCCAAUUUAGACAACAAGGCAAAAUGAAAAUAACAGACAAGUUUUUAAUCACUUACUGUCACAGUACAAGCAAGAGGCUAAACAGGAGAAAGCACUGACUCCUCCAUUCCAUUUUCCCUCAAGGAAUGGUGCCUCAGUUAAGGGUUAAGUGGAUUAGCACAGAUGUGGGGCUUGUGUCACUGCUGAGGGAGCCCUGAUCAGAAAGCUCCCGCAAUUUCAUGGACCUGGAAGCCAGGGGCAGGGAGAGUAGGCUAGACUUGGAAAAGUACUGAGUGCUGAGUCAGUGCGGAGAACAAGGCUUCAAGAUUCCCUCCCCUCUUCCCAACAAAGGGGUUUCAGCAGAAGUGUCUGACAAAGGCUUCUGCCAAGAGCCCCAGUGAAGAGGCCUCCAGGGGCACUUGAACUAGGAAUGCAGAUAUACAUAAGAGCAUAGGUGGAUGGGGGAUGGGGGGGUGGGGGGGGUGGGGACGAGGGUGGGGGUGGAGGGGUGGGGACGAGGGUGGGGGUGGGGUGGGCCUGCUGCAAUUCCUUUCAGAGACUGCAAUGCACAGGCUGUGCUCCAAGUCUGGUGUGGGGAGGGCAGCCAGAUAAAGCUAUAAAAAAUUAAUAAACAGAAA